GAUGAACGCUGACAGAAUGCUUAACACAUGCAAGUCAACUUGAACUUCGGUUUGGGUGGCGGACGGGUGAGUAACGCGUAUAGAACUUGCCUCACAGCUAGGGACAACAUUUGGAAACGAAUGCUAAUACCUGAUAUUAUGAGUGUAGGGCAUCCUAGAAUUAUGAAAGCUAUAUGCGCUGUGAGAGAGCUUUGCGUCCCAUUAGCUAGUUGGAGAGGUAACGGCUCACCAAGGCGAUGAUGGGUAGCCGGCCUGAGAGGGUGAACGGCCACAAGGGGACUGAGACACGGACCUUACUCCAACGGGAGGCAGCAGUGGGGAAUAUUGGACAAUGGACCAAGAGUCUGAUGCAGCAAUUCUGUGUGCACGAUGAAGUUUUUCGGAAUGUAAAGUGAUUUCAGUUGGGAAGAAAAAAAUGACGGUACCAACAGAAGAAGUGACGGCUAAAUACGUG
rnacentral:rRNA from 1 species